AUAAAACUGUUAAUAUAACAGUGUUAGUUUAAAAAAAGAUCAAAUAAAAAUGAAAAAUUGAAACUUAAAUAAUAUAUGCAGUAAAAAAAAUGAUGGUAAUAUAACUCUCAACCUUAAUUUGGGAUCUACUAGAAAGGCAAGGAAGACAAACAUAAAGGAUUUUGUUUUGGACAAUAACAAUAACAACAACAAUAAUAAUGUGUAUAGAAAACAAAUUUUUGCUUUGAACCUUUCCCAAUCAUUGCCUCCAAUCAGAACAUGGUUAAAAAAUAAAAUUAAUAAGAGAAGAACAAAAGAACAAAUUAAAUAGCACUUCAAGGCUUAGUCACAGUAUUAUUAUUCUCAUUAAGUGUAUCUGUAAACUCUGUUAAAUUAGUAAAUAAUUAGUCAAUAAAUUAGUUUUUAAUAAAAAAUUAGAAACGCAAAUAUUAUAUUAAAUUAGGAUAGAGCUCAUCGAAACGAAAAUUUUGACACUAAUUUCAAAAAAAUUGGUCUAAAAUUAGACUGAACGGACCGAACCAGUUGAACUGGAUCCAAACUAGACCAUCGAUCCAACCAGACCAACCUAUUAAAUUAACCCAAGCCUUUCUUCCCCCUCAUUUCAGCUGAAGCAUUCACAGGGGAGAAGAGAAUGAAAAGCCUCCCGAACCCUUACGAUAAAUCCAAUUUGUCGUAAUUUCUCCGUCCGAGCUCCGAUUGCCGCACCGUUUGCGGUCACGUGUUCACUGCGUCGAGCUCUACGUUUCUACCGGAACAAUUUCAUAGGAUCUAAUUAAUUAGCUUGGGAAAAACGUUUACUCUUGCUUAUGUGAAGCUUGAGUAAGGUUAAGAAUAAAUAAUUGGAGCUUGAAAUUGUGAAUAUUGAAACUUGGAGGAAGCUGAGCCUAGAGUUUAUUGAGUUUUGAGGGGCUGCCUUGGUAUUAAAUAAAUUGCUUUGGUCGCUACGAGAAAAUCGGCCAAGAUGCAGGUCGAGAGGCAUCUCGUUAGGCGUCUGGACCCCUGAGGCGAAG